rnacentral:rRNA from 1 species
CCUAAUACAUGCAAGUCGAGCGGACAGAUGGGAGCUUGCUCCCUGAUGUUAGCGGCGGACGGGUGAGUAACACGUGGGUAACCUGCCUGUAAGACUGGGAUAACUCCGGGAAACCGGGGCUAAUACCGGAUGGUUGUUUGAACCGCAUGGUUCAAACAUAAAAGGUGGCUUCGGCUACCACUUACAGAUGGACCCGCGGCGCAUUAGCUAGUUGGUGAGGUAACGGCUCACCAAGGCAACGAUGCGUAGCCGACCUGAGAGGGUGAUCGGCCACACUGGGACUGAGACACGGCCCAGACUCCUACGGGAGGCAGCAGUAGGGAAUCUUCCGCAAUGGACGAAAGUCUGACGGAGCAACGCCGCGUGAGUGAUGAAGGUUUUCGGAUCGUAAAGCUCUGUUGUUAGGGAAGAACAAGUACCGUUCGAAUAGGGCGGUACCUUGACGGUACCUAACCAGAAAGCCACGGCUAACUACGUGCCAGCAGCCGCGGUAAUACGUAGGUGGCAAGCGUUGUCCGGAAUUAUUGGGCGUAAAGGGCUCGCAGGCGGUUUCUUAAGUCUGAUGUGAAAGCCCCCGGCUCAACCGGGGAGGGUCAUUGGAAACUGGGGAACUUGAGUGCAGAAGAGGAGAGUGGAAUUCCACGUGUAGCGGUGAAAUGCGUAGAGAUGUGGAGGAACACCAGUGGCGAAGGCGACUCUCUGGUCUGUAACUGACGCUGAGGAGCGAAAGCGUGGGGAGCGAACAGGAUUAGAUACCCUGGUAGUCCACGCCGUAAACGAUGAGUGCUAAGUGUUAGGGGGUUUCCGCCCCUUAGUGCUGCAGCUAACGCAUAAGCA